rnacentral:ncRNA from 2 species
AUCGUUCAUCUCUUCAUGAAUUAACCAUAGGUGAGCAAGCUUCAUGGAGAGACGGAAGUAAGGAUGAAUCCUGAAGGAACGCGCC